UUGCAGCAGCUUCGUCACCCCCACGGCCA
rnacentral:sRNA from 1 species